rnacentral:rRNA from 1 species
UACAGAGGUCUCAAGCGUUGUUCGGAUUCAUUGGGCGUAAAGGGUGCGUAGGCGGUGUCGUAAGUCGGAUGUGAAAUCCCGGGGCUUAACUUCGGAACUGCAUUUGAUACUGCGAUACUCGAGGACUCGAGAGGAGAUUGGAAUUCACGGUGUAGCAGUGAAAUGCGUAGAUAUCGUGAGGAAGACCAGUGGCGAAGGCGGAUCUCUGGAGAGUUCCUGACGCUGAGGCACGAAGGCCAGGGGAGCAAACGGG